rnacentral:rRNA from 1 species
CAGUCGAACGAAGCCUUCGGGCUUAGUGGCGGACGGGUUAGUAACGCGUGGGAACGUGCCUUUCACUACGGAAUAGUCCCGGGAAACUGGGUUUAAUACCGUAUACGCCCUUCGGGGGAAAGAAUUUCGGUGAAAGAUCGGCCCGCGUUAGAUUAGGUAGUUGGUGGGGUAAUGGCCUACCAAGCCUACGAUCUAUAGCUGGUUUUAGAGGAUGAUCAGCAACACUGGGACUGAGACACGGCCCAGACUCCUACGGGAGGCAGCAGUGGGGAAUCUUGGACAAUGGGCGCAAGCCUGAUCCAGCCAUGCCGCGUGAGUGAUGAAGGCCUUAGGGUCGUAAAGCUCUUUCGCCAGGGAUGAUAAUGACAGUACCUGGUAAAGAAACCCCGGCUAACUCCGUGCCAGC